AGAGUUUGAUCCUGGCUCAGAACGAACGCUGGCGGCGUGGAUUAGGCAUGCAAGUCGAACGAGAAAGUUCCCUUCGGGGGACGAGUACAGUGGCAAACUGGUGAGUACAAGGUGGGCAACUUACCCUUUAGCGGGGGACAACUUCGGGAAACCGGAGCUAAUACCGCAUGUGGCCUUCGUGGCAAUGUUAUGAAGGUUAAAGGUGGCUUUCAAUUCGUUGGGAGCUGUCGCUAAAGGAGGGGCCCGCCCCCCAUUAGCUUGUUGGUGAGGUAACGGCUUACCAAGGCUACGAUGGGUAGCUGGCCUGAGAGGGUGGUCAGCCACACUGGGACUGAGAUACGGCCCAGACUCCUACGGGAGGCAGCAGUCUAGAGGCUUCCGCAAUGGGGGAAACCCUGACGGAGCGACGCCGCGUGUGUGAUGAAGGUUUUCGGAUCGUAAAGCACUGUUAGAUGGGAAGAAAUAGGAAUGAUGAAUAGUCAUUCUGAAAGACGGUACCAUCAGAGGAAGCUCCGGCCAACUCCGUGCCAGCAGCCGCGGUAAGACGGAGGGAGCAAGCGUUGUUCGGAUUUAUUGGGCGUAAAGCGCGCGUAGGCGGUAUGAUUAGUCUGGUGUGAAAGCCCCACUGCUCAACAGGGGGAGGUCAUCGGAAACUGUCAUACUUGAGUAGAGGAGAGGAAAAUGGAAUUCCAUGUGUAGCGGUGGAAUGCGGAGAUAUAUGGAAGAACACCGGUGGCGAAGGCGGUUUUCUGGCCUCAUACUGACGCUAAGGCGCGAAAGCCAGGGGAGCAAACGGGAUUAGAUACCCCGGUAGUCCUGGCCGUAAACGAUGGACACUAGGUGUGGGAGGUAUCGACCCCUUCUGUGCCGGAGCUAACGCGUUAAGUGUCCCGCCUGGGGAGUACGGCCGCAAGGCUAAAACUCAAAGGAAUUGACGGGGGCCCGCACAAGCGGUGGAGCAUGUGGUUUAAUUCGAUGCAACGCGAAGAACCUUACCGGGGUUCAAUUGCAGACGCAAGCCGUGGAGACACGGCCCUCUUCGGACGUCUGUAACGGUGCUGCAUGGCUGUCGUCAGCUCGUGUCGUGAGAUGUUGGGUUAAGUCCCGCAACGAGCGCAACCCUUGUCCUUAGUUGCCAGCGAGUAAUGUCGGGAACUCUAGGGAGACUGCCCCGGAUAACGGGGAGGAAGGUGGGGAUGACGUCAAGUCCUCAUGGCCUUUAUGCCCCGGGCUACACACGUGCUACAAUGGUUGGUACAAUGAGUCGCAAGACCGCGAGGUGGAGCUAAUCUCUAAAACCAGCCCCAGUUCGGAUUGGAGUCUGCAACUCGACUCCAUGAAGCUGGAAUCGCUAGUAAUCGCAGAUCAGAACGCUGCGGUGAAUACGUUCCCGGGCCUUGUACACACCGCCCGUCAAGCCACGAAAGUUGAUUGUACCAGAAGUCGGGUACGCAACCUUCGGGAGCAGCCUGCCGAAGGUAUGAUUGAUGAUUGGGGCUAAGUCGUAACAAGGUA
rnacentral:rRNA from 1 species